rnacentral:rRNA from 1 species
UACGAGUGCCCCAAGCGUUAUCCGGAAUCAUUGGGCGUAAAGGGUGUGUAGGUGGUUUGGUUAGUCUUUUGUCAAAAUCCGGAGCUCAACUGCGGACUUGCAAAGGAAACGGCCAGACUCGAGGGUGCGAGGGGUGAAUGGAACUCAUGGAGUAGGGGUGAAAUCCGUUGAUAUCAUGGGGAACACCAAAAGCGAAGGCAAUUCACUGGCGCAUUCCUGACACUGAAACACGAAAGCGUGGGUAGCGAACGGG